rnacentral:lncRNA from 1 species
CUUGUUACGUGUUUGUUACCGGCCCAUGUCUGCCUGUUCGUGUCCUGCUCGUCCCCUGAUUGCUGACAUCUGCCAUGCAUGGUGCGUGGCUUCCAACAUAGCAGCUGACUCCUCCCAGGCCUCCCAACAUUUCUUUGCAGCACUGACAUCAGGGAGGAGGUUUCGGAGCAUCCGGCCAGGUCUGCCAGAUUAUGCAACAGCUUCUUUUUUGAAUGCACAGGAUCCUAAACUUCUAGACCUUAAUGGUGCAUCUCGUCUGUUGUGUGGAGAACGAUAUUUCGCACACAACUUGUCGAAUAGUGUAUUACGGUAGUGACAACAAAGAAUCUAGAAUCUUAAAGUUGGAAAGAGAUAGAGAGCAUGAUAAUGUCAAUGAGGUACGCUUGAAGAUAUCACUGUGAUAGAGCUUUCGUUAUUAGGCUUCAUUUGAUGAAAGGACAACAAAGUAGACAAGGGAAAGUUAGGGCUCAUUAGGGGAAAGUGAAAGGCAGAAAGGAUAAAAAGCAUAUAAAUAUUUUCAAAGUGCAAGUUUAGUGGCAGAGGAGAGUGCUUGAAUACCAAUCGUGCAGGACUAGCAAGCCGUCUCUAUGAAGGUUAGAGACUGACAAACCUGGAGGGGAAAAGGCGGCGGAUGUAAGAACACCUACAUGUUCUCUGCUAAUCCUGGGAGUCUCUUUGAAGUGUCUGCGGAGUCCGACACCCAUCACGGAACCACGUGAUGACACUCAGUCUCAAGUGUAAGGAAAGUAAAAAAAAAAAAAAACACAUGCAGCUGUAUAUGAAUAUGAACACACAGCAGCACACAUAUUCUAAUCAGUCAGGUUUGUUCAACAGCUGGUGGGGCCGUGACAGAACAGAGAACAGGCUGAGCAGCUGCUGCCAAAUAACCAAUCACUGAUCAUCUUGGCAUCAAACCGUCUCCUUCCCUCUCUCCCUGUUUGUGUUCGCUUGAAGACCUUUUAGAAAAAUGUGUACAGCUGCACAAAUAAGAAUUCAUCACGUGGUUUUUGUUUCAUUUUAUUUACAUAUUUUAAAUUUAGUGAACACUUUUUUUGAUCAUUAUCUCC